GCUUGCUCUCAAGAAGUUAGCGGCGGACGGGUGAGUAACACGUGGGUAACCUGCCCAUAAGACUGGGAUAACUCCGGGAAACCGGGGCUAAUACCGGAUAACAUUUUGAACUGCAUGGUUCGAAAUUGAAAGGCGGCUUCGGCUGUCACUUAUGGAUGGACCCGCGUCGCAUUAGCUAGUUGGUGAGGUAACGGCUCACCAAGGCAACGAUGCGUAGCCGACCUGAGAGGGUGAUCGGCCACACUGGGACUGAGACACGGCCCAGACUCCUACGGGAGGCAGCAGUAGGGAAUCUUCCGCAAUGGACGAAAGUCUGACGGAGCAACGCCGCGUGAGUGAUGAAGGCUUUCGGGUCGUAAAACUCUGUUGUUAGGGAAGAACAAGUGCUAGUUGAAUAAGCUGGCACCUUGACGGUACCUAACCAGAAAGCCACGGCUAACUACGUGCCAGCAGCCGCGGUAAUACGUAGGUGGCAAGCGUUAUCCGGAAUUAUUGGGCGUAAAGCGCGCGCAGGUGGUUUCUUAAGUCUGAUGUGAAAGCCCACGGCUCAACCGUGGAGGGUCAUUGGAAACUGGGAGACUUGAGUGCAGAAGAGGAAAGUGGAAUUCCAUGUGUAGCGGUGAAAUGCGUAGAGAUAUGGAGGAACACCAGUGGCGAAGGCGACUUUCUGG
rnacentral:rRNA from 1 species